CUGCCAUGUGAGACAUACCUUUCACCUUCCGCCAUGAUUGUGAGGCCUCUCCAGCCACGUGGAACUCAGGUUUCAGUCCUUGAGGAGCGCUCACUAGGAUGGUAAUUGUUUGAUCGAUAGAUUAAGUGAGUUGGAAGACUCUCCAAGUGAAAAUUUAAAAUUACUGCAGUUUUGGCCUGAUGAUGUUAACCAGCAAGA
ensembl:lncRNA novel transcript, antisense to LRRC28